rnacentral:rRNA from 1 species
GAACGCUAGCGGCAGGCUUAACACAUGCAAGUCGAGGGGUAUAGGGAGCUUGCUUCCUAGAGACCGGNGCACGGUGCGUAACGCGUAUGCAAUCUACCUUUUGCAGAGGGAUAGCCCAGAGAAAUUUGGAUUAAUACCUCAUAGUGUUAUUAGAUGGCAUCAUUUGAUAACUAAAGUUCCAACGGUAAAAGAUGGGCAUGCGUCCUAUUAGCUAGAUGGUAAGGUAACGGCUUACCAUGGCUACGAUAGGUAGGGGUCCUGAGAGGGAGAUCCCCCACACUGGUACUGAGACACGGACCAGACUCCUACGGGAGGCAGCAGUGAGGAAUAUUGGACAAUGGGCGCAAGCCUGAUCCAGCCAUGCCGCGUGCAGGAAGAAGCAUCUAUGGUGUGUAAACUGCUUUUGUACGGGAAGAAACACUCCUACGUGUAGGAGCUUGACGGUACCGUAAGAAUAAGGAUCGGCUAACUCCGUG